GCAGCCGCCGCGGUAAUACGAAGGGUGCAAGCGUUACUCGGAAUUACUGGGCGUAAAGCGUGCGUAGGUGGUGGUUUAAGUCCGUUGUGAAAGCCCUGGGCUCAACCUGGGAAUCGCAGUGGAUACUGGGUCACUAGAGUGUGGUAGAGGAUAGUGGAAUUUCCGGUGUAGCAGUGAAAUGCGUAGAGAUCGGAAGGAACAUCUGUGGCGAAGGCGACUAUCUGGGCCAACACUGACACUGAGGCACGAAAGCGUGGGGAGCAAACAGGAUUAGAUACCCCUGUAGUUCCUGUCUCUUAUAC
rnacentral:rRNA from 1 species